GUACGCUGGCGGCACGCCUAACACAUGCAAGUCGAACGAAGUAGCAAUACUUAGUGGCAGACGGGUGAGUAACAUGUAGGUAUCUGCCCUUUGGCCUGGAAUAACACGAGGAAACUUGUGCUAAUACCGGAUAAGUCUUUACGGAGAAAGCUUUAUGCACCAUUGGAUGAGCCUGCACUUGAUUAGUUUGUUGGUGGGGUAAUGGCCUACCAAGACUGUGAUCAAUAGCUGAUUUGAGAGGAUGAUCAGCCACAUUGGGACUGAGACACGGCCCAAACUCCUACGGGAGGCAGCAGUGGGGAAUCUUGCACAAUGGAGGAAACUCUGAUGCAGCGAUGCCGCGUGAGUGAAGAAGGCCCUUGGGUUGUAAAGCUCUUUCGUCGGGGAAGAAAAUGACUGUACCCGAAUAAGAAGGUC
rnacentral:rRNA from 1 species